rnacentral:rRNA from 1 species
UACGAAGGGUGCUAGCGUUGUUCGGAAUUACUGGGCGUAAAGCGCGCGUAGGCGGUCAUACAAGUCAGGGGUGAAAUCCCGGAGCUUAACUCCGGAACUGCCUUUGAAACUGUAUGGCUGGAGUGUGUGAGGGGAUAGCGGAAUUCCUAAUGUAGAGGUGAAAUUCGUAGAUAUUAGGAGGAACACCGGUGGCGAAGGCGGCUAUCUGGCACACAACUGACGCUGAGGCGCGAAAGCGUGGGGAUCAAACAGG